GGGGGAAGGGCGGCGAGUCCGGCGCGCCGGGGGCGGGCUAGGGAGUGGCGUCUGUCUCUCCCCUUUCCCAGCCGAAGGGUCUCCUCGUGCCUGUGGCAACGGCUUGACAAAGAGGAGGUGCGGCCUCCUUUACAGCUUGGCGUGAGGAAGGGGCUGUCAGGGCUCCGGCUUCCCGGACUUUAGUGGCUGAGUCAAGAUUGUGUUGAGGGCCACCCCGCCAAGCCGUCCUCCUGGCUUUAAGGAAAAGGAAAACGCUUAAGUCGGCCCAUUUUCUGAGCCUGGCCAGCAGGCCUCUCCCUACUGCGGAACUGUUGAAGCUAUCCCUGCUUACUUACCCCAGAAGGGUUGGGUUCUGUUUUUUUUUUUCCCCAUUUUCUUGAAAGGCUUGGAAAUGUCACCUGUUUUCGUUGAUCUCUCCUCUGAAAACUCAGACACGUUGCUGCUGGACUAAAUUUAGGUAUUAACCGGCCCCUAUUCUUUCCCUAGGGUGUCAAAUAGGACAGGAAACACAUAACUUCACUGGAAUUUGAAAAGGGAAGUAGUAGGAUGAUGUUAACAGAGAUUAGCUUGACCCUACAAGGCUGACUGCCGAGGUGAUUAAAGGUCCAGACCAUAGAAGGAAGUGAAGGCUGGUAAAUGGAGAAGUCCCAUUCAAAGAAUUGAGACAUCACUACCUGCCAUCUUCCCGGGUUUAGUUUUUCUUCCCUUUGGCCCUUUUUCUCUUGGCUAACCAGAUUUUCAGGGAAAGGAGACACUGACACUGACUUGUAGACAUUUUAGAGGAAUUACUAUAUCCUGUGAAUCUGUUCAAUGAGAUCCAUAUCUUUAACAGAGCCUUUGUAAAUGUAAUUAGGGCCUCACAUUUAACUCAGGUUUAGGGAUAAAUUUUAAAAUCUCUGUGAAUGUUGGGGCGUCUGGGUGGCUUCGUCGUUAAGCGUCUGCCUUCAGCUUAGGUCAUGAUCCCAGGGUCCUGGGAUGGAGCCCCACAUGGGGCUCCCUGCUCGGUGGGAAGCCUGCUUCUCCCUCUCCCACUCCCCCUGCUUGUGUUCCUGCUCUUGCUAUCUCUCUCUCUGUCAAAUAAAUUAAUUAAAAAUCUUAAAAAAAAAAAAAAAACUCUGUGAAUGUUAAAUCACCGUGAUAGUCCUACGUAAUCUUGCUAGUUUCAAAUGAAAUGCUAACAUACUCCAAAAGUCUGUGUACACCAUCUGCCAGCCAAAUCCAAAAUUCGUGCUUCAAUCUGGUGACUCUCAGAAGAUGCAAUGCUAAUAGUUAACAUUUUAUAUACCAUAUCACAGAUUUUGUGGUCUCCCAUUCCCUUCCCCACCUUGUUUCACUAUGGCUGGUGAAAUUCUGCAGCACCAUGGUUUGCCAAGAACAUACAGUCUUAAACCAGCAGGCUUCAUCUUUGUCAAGCCAGUCCCAAAUUUCACAAAACGUUAAUGACUUCCUUCAGUGCAUCUGCAGUCCAUCUGCAGUUUGGUGCCCAGUUUGCUGCCCCAUGUCCAUUGUGCAGUACAGUUACCCAAUCAUCAAGACAUGUAUGCCAUCCUUGCUACCCUUCUAUGGGUUCCACUGUGUGAAUUACCAACUGGCCUGAAUGUCUGCACUAAUAAUCCUCCUGCUGAAGUAAGUCGACAUGAGCAUGGCAUUUAGCUGCCAAUAGCUAAAUAUUUCAACCUUAGGAAAAAUGUAUAAGUUAUUCCUAAGUACACAGCAGGAAACUUGUAUUUUCUGCACUACUAUGAAUGACAUUAUAGGAUAAUAUCACUGUACUUUUUUCAAGGAUGCAUUUUACAAGUUUCUAAAUAAGUAAUCAGUGAUUAUAGAGGUUUAUGUACAUUGGUGAACUGAAAGAAAUUUAGAAGAUGAUGGGGACGUAUUCUAAGGUUAGGAAUUACUGACCGGCCUGCCCUGUCCUAUAUACUUAAGUUUUCUGUGUGUUCUACUUUCCUUGGUCUGUUCAAGAAAUAUCUUUACUUGUCCCACAGAUGCUUCAAGCUCACUAUGGCCAAAAAUGAAUUCUCUUGUCCUGGCCCAUUCCGUAUCCCUAAUCCAUGUGGAUCUUCUUCUUUGUACCUUAUUCCAGGAAUGGCCUUAACCACCUGCCCAGAAGUCCAAGUCAGAAAACCGUAACUCAUUCUUAGCCCUCCUUCUCUCUUAUUUCUCUUACCUCGCCUAAUGUAGUUAUAUCCCUCAAACCCAUUUUCUUUCUAACACCACAUCUGUUGCCUUAGUUCUAGCCUUUAUGAUUUAUGAUCUCUUCCCCAUGUAGACUGUUCUAAUAACUUCUUAGCUGAUUUCUCUGUCUCCCGUACCUCAACUCUCCAAUCCAGAUCUUUCUGAACCUAAAAUGUGUUUAUCUUUUCUUUGCAUUAAAACCCUUCAGUAGCACCCCAUGCACUACUGUAGAGGAUAAAAUUUAGGACUCUUAGCUUGGCAUAUAAAGCCUUUCAUGAUCUAGCCCCUACCUAAGUAUAGUUUGUUGAGUUUUAUCUCUCUCCAGUCCUCUACAUGCACUCCUGCCAGUGUCACACUACUGGGUAUGCCAUGCUGUUUCACACCCUCUAGGCUCCACGCCCAGCAGGGAGCCCAAGGCAGGGCUUGAACUCACAACCCAGAGAUCAAGACUUGCGCUGAGAACAAGAGUUGGACUGGACGCUUAACCGACUGAGCCACCCAGACACCCCGACUGCAAAUACAAUACGACUGCAACUAGUUUUAUGGCAAUUGUGAACCUUGUGGAGUUGCUGAUGCUGAGGUGAAACCAGAACAUGAGCCUACUCUAAACUGAUUUGCAGCACAGUAAGAAUGGAAGAAUAAGAGGUAAGGACAGCUGCCUAGACACACCAAAUAGGAUACAAAGUUAUGAGGACAUGGUUAUAACAAGUUAUUUAGAAUCAGGGCUUUGAGAAAUAAGAGUUCUCAUUGAUUGAAUGCCUACUGUAUGCCCGGUCAUUGUCUAGAAUCUUUACAGAAACAGCGAUGGUAGGUACUGUUUCCCUAUAGCUAUGUAAAAACAAGAGCAAUAACUUAAACUAGAUUUUUCAAAUCCCAAAGCUGACAUACUGUCCACUGCCCCACACGGUCUUCUUCUGAUGAUGCACUCCAUUUAUUUCUGUGACUCCUGGCACAGGUUUAGAGCCUGGCACAGCAUCCUCAUGGAAUCAUGCAUAGCUGGACAGUAAAUGCCUCUGCUGCCCGCAGAGGGGGCACCUAAAUGUCCAAGCUGAGCUGGGUCCAAGGUUUGCUGACUAAGCAGGUUUCAAGUCUUGUGCUCACUCCUCUUCCUCCUCCCUUUCUUUCCCAGCAACCCCUGUAGCUCACCUUUGCUUCUGUCCACUGGGGAAAGCAUCUUCCAGGUACUAAUAAGAAAAAUACUCUGGCCAUAGUGUGAGGGGAAGAGGCAGCUAGGCAAAAUCACUGCUGAGAACCUGGGCAGACUUAGGCAGUGUGAUCUGAAGAGCUGAAGUGUGCAGCCCACAGAGAGAAAAAAUGGGGUAGAAUGCAAAAUUGAAGAGGAUGUGCUUAAGAGGAAAAUCUUCCUGACAGAGAUGAAUUAGUUAUGGGACUAACUCCCCAAGGUAAGGGAUGUGGCUCCAUUCCCUAACUCAUGAGCAGAAGACAUACUAGAGAGGACAAGCAGGAGAUGGGGUGGGGGAGGGGGAGACAUCAAUGACUAAUAGGUGCUUUCCACCUUUGAGUUUUAUGAAGAUGAAUGGAGCACUUUUGAACGGAGGAAUAAAAAUAAUAAUAAUAGGGUGCCUGGGUGGCUCAGUCGUUAAGCGUCUGCCUUCAGCUCAGGUCAUGAUCCCAGAGUCCUCGGAUCGAGCCCGUCAGGCUCCCUGCUCAGCGGAAGUCUGCUUCUCCUUCUCCCACUCCCCCUGCUUGUGUUCCCUCUUUCACUGUGUCUUUGUCAAAUAAAUAAAUAAAAUCUUUAAAAAAUAAAUAAAUAAAUAAAUAAAUAAAUAAAUAAAUAAUAAUAAAAAUGAAGAGAUAGAGCUGACUAAGGCACUGCAAAGAUAAAGAGGAAUAGAGACUUUGGGCCCUCAUGCUGAGUGAGAAAAAUCAUUUCUUCCAACUGGGAGAUAGAGAGGCAAGUGGUUCCAAGUUUUGAAUUCAGAGUUCAGGUUCUGCCACUUGCCCAUGAUAUGAACCUGAGCAAAUUAAUUAGCCUUUCUAAGUUACAAAAUAGGAAUAAUACCCCAUUUUAUUGGUUAUCUGUCACAAUAAAAUAGGGAUAACAUCAUUGCAGAGGAUUCUUAUAAGAUUGAGAUAACUCAUGUAAAAUUCAGUGUCUAGCAUGUAGUAAGCACUCAUUGAAUGACAACAAGUAUUAAUGGGUCAUAGCUUUGUGCAGAGGGGAAAUAUAGCCAGGUCCUGUUAUCAAGGUCAGAUUAUGAGAACAAGUUUUCCCUUUAAACUUAAUGAUGGUGCCUCCUUGGUUUAAUUAUUUGCUGUAUCGAUAGCCCACACCUUCUCUACUGACUUAGCUUUCAGCUCUCAGAGAAGAUGAAGCUGAAGUAUGAUAGAUACCACCCGUACUCAUAGGCAAGCUUGCCAAAGAACAGCUCAACCCAUGUUGACUUUCUGCAUCAUUCUGAAGAUAAAACCAUCUCCCCAUGGAAGGGUGUUGUGCAAAGAAGAUAAUACUAAUGACAUUAUACAUUUAUGCAAUCUUUUACAGUUUACAAAGCACUCUUACUUGGGAAAGGUUACUAUUGCUAUUUUAUUUUUCAAGAUUAUUUAUUUGAGAGAGACAGGGGGUGGGGCAGACGGAGAGGGAGAGAGAGUCUUAAGCAGACUCUGUGCUGAGCGCAGAGCCUGAUGUGGGCUUAGUCUCAAGACCCUGAGAUCACAACCUGAGCGGAAACCAAGAGUCAGACGCUUAACCGACUUCGCCACUCAGGCGCCCCUACUAUUUCUAUUUUAUAGAUGAGGAGACAGAAACUUAGAGAGGUGAAGCUACUUGAUUAAAAUGACAUAGAUAAUUGGUGGGUGGAGCACAGGUCCACACCCAGCUCCUCCAGACUUCCAGUCUGGAGCUCUUUUAUACCACCAGAUGCCAUAGGGGAUGGGAGCAGGUAGCAGAUUAGAAAGCUAGUUGCUUCCAAUCAUAAAAACAUUGAAUUUUAGAACAGAAAGUAACUUUCAGAUUACAUAAUACCAUGGUUUUUAGACUGCAUCCAAGGAAUCCUGUAGGAGGUGGGGAAAACCAAGGAGGAGGUAGUAUUGUAUGCAUCUCAGUUUUUAUCAAUUAAUUUUAUAACAUUACAAUGUAUUUUGAAUGAAUGUCUAUGGCAUUAAGAGUUUCCUUUAAAAAGAAUGAAGUUCGAAAACUCCUGAUCUAGUUCAACUGCUUCAUCUCUCCAGGAAUGAUACUGAGGCCCAGUCUGGUUAAGUAAGUUGUCCAAAUCUCAUAACUAGUUAGAAGCAGAAUGAGGAAUAACGCUGAAUCCUCAUUACCUGCAUAUUUUAUGCUGUAAAUGUCCUCAUUCUCCAAAUAUUUUCCUCUGAUUAACUCAAGCAAGUCAUUUAAAUCAAGAAGAAAUAAGCCCUGAGGUUAGUCUCUCCUAAUGACUCACUCUGGGACCUUGAUCAGUCCACUGAUCUCUGAACCUUUGGCUUUUCUGUAAGUAAUAUGGGAUGAUCAUUCCUGUCUGGGCAGCUCUCAGUGGGGGUGUUGUGAUGACUGUAAAAAAGAACAUGUGGACUUUCACAGGGUUUUUCCAGGGAAUGAGACUCAGCAAGUUCAAUAUCUUAUUUACAAAUGCCCACCAAGGAUGUUAUGCUUCCAAGGUGAUCUCUACAAUUUAUCAUCCCUAUGUAUUUGUUGUCCUUCAUUUGAGAAGGAAAUGUAGUUCAUCUUUGUAACCAUGUCAAGGUUUAUGAAAUAGCCUCAAAAACUGCUUAGCACAUUGGCUUUCUGAGAGGACUAUGACUUCUUACUACUUGCAGGGUGGUAAAUCUUUUAAGGUUAAACUCCUUUCAUUGUAGACAUGUUAUAAAGGAAACUAUCACAACUGAGUUCUAGCAAACAUGGGGGACCUAGAGCUAGAUGAGAUCAAAGGACUUACGUGCAAGUUACAGAGUUUAGAACCCUCCCACCUAACUGGCAGUUUUUCCUUCUUCAACAAGGAAUACUAAGAAAAUACUAUCACUGACCUUCAGGCUGACCUUGAAAGCAGCCUAAUGUACUUACGAUCUUGGCUAAGUUCUUUAUUUCUUUGAGCUUGUUUUCUCACUUAUAAAAGGCAGAUAUGGCCUUCCCUUUCCACCUCAUAGGGCCAUCAAGGAUCAAAAGAGAGAAAAGAGGGUGGCGAGUUUUUAAAACUGUGGAGUGUAUGCUAACUAAAAGGAUUGUCAUUUUUAAAAAUGUGUAAAAUAUGACAAUUAUUUGUAAUGUGCAUUUCAACUAAAUCCUCUCAGUUUGUUAGAAAUACCUACUUUGGAAUAUCAACUACUCACAAUGAAGAAAGAUGUUUCAAAGUAUGCUGAUGUCUAUAUAGAACGUAAAGUAGCCAUACUGAGCAAGUCAAAGUUAGAGCUAAGGAAUUACCUUAACUGGCAUUAUCACAAAACCAGAAAUAUUUUUCUAUUUUCAAUUAAGAAUAUUUUAAAUUUAAAAAAAUAAGAAAUUAAACAGAUCUUUACCAAAAUUCUACUCUGGAUGCCUCAAAUUUCUAACUAUAUCUCUUGGAGAACAGCAUUUCUAUGAUUAUUCGUGUUGAUACUUUAAAAAAUCUGGACCUAGUUUCCAUUAUGCAGACAAACCACAGAAGCCAACCAAUAUUUUAAGACUGCAAUGUUUACUAAUGGAUGUCUGGCUAGAAACAGUGUUGGCAGAAUUCUGGCAGAGGGAUUUACUCUCACUAAUGAUGUGGAACAGGGCUGCAUAAUCAUGUCCACCUGGAUUAAGUCUACCCAAGGCUGUCAUAUUUUGAAAUGGAACCAGAAAAAAGCACCCCCAAAAGUCCUGGGAUUUUCCUGGAAGAAGCAUUACAUCAGAACUGGUUUAGACCUUCCCAAAAUCAUUGCCCCAGCCAUUCAUUUCAUUUGGGACGUCCUUUACAAAAAUGACUUCACAAAGUAGAGUGGAUAUCAGACUCUUUUGCAAAAUAUUUAGAGACAUGAAGACAGUAUAUCCUAUAUACAGGCCAUCCCAGGCCAGGAAAAAUCUUUCAAACAUUUCUUUAGAAAACACAUCAGCUACUUUUCUUGCAGAUGUGCUAACAGAUCCUUAAGGUAAAAGGACACUCGGUCCACACCCCCACCCUUCAACUCCAUGCCCCAGGAAAGAAAGCUAUUCCCAGUUAUGCAUUAUCAAUUUCUUUCCUAGCUAUACCUGAGACUAGAAGCAUCAGUAGUUAUUCAUCAAUAAGGAAGAAGGACAAUGACAUUCAUUUUGACUGUCUGGACAUUGUUACUGUAUCACUCUUUUGGGGGGAAGUAAUUUCUGUCUAUUAAAAGAGACAGAUUCCAAACUAAGAUAUGUGGGAAAUCAUUUGGUGUUUAGUAGAAUUCAAGUCAUGCACAUAGCCCUAAAAACUAUAAUUAAAAAGGAGCUAGGCAGGGAAAAUUAAUAACAGCAAGCCUUUAAAAUGGAAAUCCUUAGAAUAAAGGAAUAGCUGUUAUCAUAUUAGUAUUACUCUGUAUUAAAGAUGUCAAGAUACUGUCAUUGGAUUUCUUUCCCUUCUAUCUAGUUUCUAGACCUCCAAGGAAUCUUCAUUCUAUUUUCUGAAAUUAGAUGCUGCUUCAAAGAUUUUAGAAGUAAACCAUGAAAUGAGUACACUAAAGAAGCAUUAAUUUUUGCAGAUUAUUAUUAAAUAACAUUUUUAUCCCACACUAAUAAUUUAAUCACAACAUUUGUUAAAUAUCCCAAAGAUAGUGUUAUCUGAAACCAAAUCUGGUUGUUUCAAAUGGAUAGGAACUUGGCUGUGGAGUAGGAAAAGGUCCUGUAUCUCUCCCCUCAUUGCUCCCUCCUCCCUUCUUCCCUUCCUCCCUUCCUUCCUUCCUUCUUUCCUUCCUUCCUUCCUUCCUUCCUUCCUUCCUUCCUUCCUUCCUUCCUUCCAUUCUUCCUUUUUGCACUCAUAUGGCCUUAUGAUGCACUGUGUCUAUACCAGGGCAACAUUUCAGUGGAAGGGGUACCUCGGGAAACUGCCAAAUGCUUGUGUGGUAGCAUUCAGACAAGGAGGCGUAUUUGCAACACGUGAUGCUGUAGUCACUGCUGCUCCCAUAUGUCCUCUCUCAAGAUGUUUGUGCCUCCAUGUUUGAUGUAGAUGUCGCCAAAGACUAUCCCUUUAAUUUCUUUAAUUUUUAACAUUGUCAAAGUUAAUAUAUGCCCUUUGCUUUUCAACAUCAUCAAUGUUAAACCUUUUAAUUUUUAACAUUUUAAAGUUAAUAUAAACUCCAUUAAAUGCUUCUCAGCUGAUCAAACACAGGAAUGAUCACUAUGAACUAGUCAUAUUAAUAGUUUUUUCAGUGGGGAGCCAGUAAAUUUUUCUGGUGAUGAUAUUGUCAACAGUUAAAUGAGAUCUACCUUUAUUUAUAAUAUUAUUUUGUAUGCAAAGUAUUAUCAUCCUCAACACCUCAUUGGAGACUCUGCUCACAGUUCACCGCUCCAGACUUCUUCCCUGUUUGCGCCAUCUCAUCACCUCUCCUCCCCGUGUCACCUCCCCUUCCACCUCUCCACCUGCCCCCUACCCCUGGAGCUUUAAUCUCUGUAUGUGCAUCAGCUCCUGUUUUCAUCCUUCCAAGCGUUGUUAACACAAGGUAUUAUGUGUAGUAGAUUUUACUAAGCCUGUUGGUUUCCUGGGGCUGCCAUAGCAAAGGACCACAAAUUGAGUGGCUUAAACAGCAAAAGUUUGUGGGGCGCCUGGGUGGCUCAGUUGGUUAAGCGACUGCCUUCGGCUCAGGUCAUGAUCCUGGAGUCUCGGGAUCGAGUCCUGCAUCGGGCUCCCUGCUCGGCGGGGGGGGUCUGCUUCUCCCUCUGACCCUCUUCCCUCUCGUGCUCUCUGUCUCUCAUUCUCCCUCUCUCAAAUAAAUAAAUAAAAUCUAAAAAAACAAAAAAAAAACAGCAAAAGUUUGUUGUCUCAAAGUCUGGAAGCUAGAAAUCUGAAAUCAAGAUGUUGGCAGAGUUGUUCCUUCUGAGAGCUGUGAGGGAAGGAUCUGUUCUAGGCCUUUCUCCUUGACUUGUAGAUGGCUGUGUUCUUCCUGUGUCUCUUAACAUUGUCUUCCCUUUAUGCAUGUCUCUGUGUCCAAAUUGCCCCCUUUAUAAGGACACCAAUCAUGUUAGAUUUGGGACCAGCCUAACAAUCUCAUUUUAACUUGAUUAUCUCUAUAAUGAUCCUAUCUCUAAAUAAGGUGACAUUCUGAGGUACCAGAUGUUAGGACUCCAACACAUCUGUUUUAGGACACAACUCAACCCAUAACACUAAUGCUUAAAGAUAACACAUAGGAAAUACAAAACAGAAAAAAACAAACAAACAAACAAACAAAACUUAAGCUAAAUCUCAAGUGUCAUUGUCAGAGAAUCUAUUGGCUAUGUCUGGCAUAGAGUCUGAUUCUCUCUAUCCUUCUGUCCAAACUGUCAUAUUUCCAGGGCCAGCUCACCAUCCUGGAUGGAAAUCUGAUGGUAUACAUGCCUCUCUCCCUGUGAUGGUUAAUUUUAUGUGUCAGGUUGACUGGGCUACAGGGUACUUGGAUAUUUGGUUAAACAUUCUGAGUAUUUCUGUGAGGGUGUUUUUGGAUGAGACAAACAUUUAAAUCAGUAUGCUAAGUAAAGUGUAUUGCUGACCAUAAUGUGAGUGGGCCUUGCCCAAUCAGUUGAAGGCCUGACUUGAAUGCAAGGCUAACCCUUCCCUGAAUAAGAAAGAAUUCUCCUACUUGACAACCUGCAAACUAGGACAUCAGCUCUUCCUAGUUCUACAGCAGCUUCCAGCAUGAGACUCAACUGGGACACUGGCUCUGUAGAAUGUGCAUGUCCCUACCUCCCACCCCCCCCACACAGGUACACUAUUGGUUCUGUUUCUCUGGAGAACCCUGACUAAUAUGCUCCCUAAGGCCACAUCCUACCUAAUAAAGAACAACCACAAAUAACAUUAAGUAUCCCUUCAGGAUUGCAAUCUAUCUGCUACAGGGCCAGCCCUUUAUCUUACUAAAUACUGUACCCAAAUCCUCCAAUCUUAGGCCUUUAUAUCUGGGUUAUUCCCCAAAGUUUCACUCAUUCUUAUGACCAAAAAUGCUCCCCCAUUGGUCUCUCCAAGAGCCUGCCCCAAAGACAAAAUCCAGCUCUCAAUUUUAGUACAAUCAUGGAUUAAGAAAUAGUGAGGCCCGGGGGCACCUGGGUGGCUCAGUCGUUAAGCGACUGCCUUCGGCUCAGGUCAUGAUCCUGGAGUCCCAGGAUCGAGUCCCGCAUCCGGCUCCCUGCUUGGCGGGGAGUCUGCUUCUCCCUCUCCCGCUCCCCACUCUUGUGCUCUCUCUCUCUCAUUCUCUCUCUCAAAUAAAUAAAUAAAAUCUUUAAAAAAAAAAAAAAAAGAAAGAAAUACUGAGGCCCAAACUCAGAGCACUCUGCUAUAUGCCCAGAACUUCUUACAUACUCUUUGCAUACAUGUCAAAUCAUAGAGUACCUCUCAAGUUCUCCUCAUCUCAUUCCAUCUAAGGCUUUUUGUGCAACUAGAUAAUUUCUUCUAUAGCUUAAUAUUUCAUGCGUGUGACUUUGUAAAGAAUUAGCCUUGUCUAAUUAAGACUCAGCACAAAACCCUCCAAAGUUUAAACAGAUCAGAGCUGAACCAAAUCAGACUCUUGAAAUCAAGAGUGUUUCUAGGUUGGAAGGAAAGGACAACUCCCCCUGACUCUGUGCUUGACUUUCAUCUUCACUUUGGGUUUCUGUUUUCCAGAUUCUCUAUGUCACUACAUCACCUGGUCACAUCUCAUCUAAAGCUGUGUGGUUCCCCUUUAAAUUUUUCAAUGUGGACAAAAAUGUUUUUCCUUGGUGUAACUAAGACAGGCUGGUAUUUUCAAGAACAGCUUUACUAAACAUGAGGGAAAACAGAAAACAAAUAAUUACAGAAAACAUACAUGAUAUAAAAAUAGCCAAGUUUCCAACUGCAGGUUUCUGUUUCUAAAAAUUCCAUUAAAAGUAGGAAAGUUUUACUGGGCCUCAAUUUCAUUUACCCUUAGUCAACCACAUCCCUUAAUUUUGCUAUAUCCUGUCUGGACUCCUUCUCUCCCACCUCCAACACCUCAUCUAUCCCUGAGCCCUAUAAUCUUGAGCUGCUAGCUUAGUUUUUUGAAUCCAUAUCCCAAGGAAAAAAUACCCAAUAACUUACUUUUAAAACUAUCAUUCUCCUAAUAAAAAUACCCUGGACUCCCAAAGACCUGCCAGAAUGCCUGCUUACAAGAGGUUUUCAAGUUCUGAUGUUGAAGAGCCACUGGGUCUCCAACAUUAACUCUUCUCAAUUCUGAUAUUAAAUCAGCAUAGAACAAACUGCAUUCCAGGAAAUGGUCCCUGGGAUAGUGAAUAUUCUUUACAAUGGCAGAUAGGGUUCUGAGCUCAAAUAAAUUUGAAGAAUGUAGGGUUAAACUAAGUUUCACAGUUUUCGCCAAUACAUAAUUUCUCAAAUCAUUUCAUGCAGUUGGCAAAUACUUAUUGAGAGCCUAUUAUGUGCCAGGCACUGCUCCAGGCCCUGAACAAAUCCUGAUGAAGAAUGAGCAGAACAGAUAAAACCCUACCCUGUCUUCAUAGAAUUCACUUUCUAGGCGGUUCCCAAAAAAAGGUGAAUGACCAAACAAACAAGUAAGAUCUCAAAUAAUGGUAGGGACUGUGAAGACAUUAAGGGGUGAUGUUACAGGGAAGAACUGGAGUUGGGGAAAUACAGACAGCAGAGGGAACAAUGAGUCCACAGACCUGGCAGGACAAAGCUUGGCAUGUUGGAAGAAGAAAGAGAGCCUCUGUGCUGGAGCUGAGAAACUGACCAAACAGGAAAGUGCAUGUCAGGAGAUGAUCUUAGAGGACGUGGUAAGAAGGAAGAUUUGACCGUUGGUGCAGUGGAAAGCAAUAUGAAGGGCUUUAAGCCUUAGCACAAUCUAAUACUACAAUUUGAAAAAAAGAAAUUUCCUUGGCUGUUGUGUAGAGAAUGGAAUUUAAAGGCCAUGAUUACAGGUGGAGACCAGUUAGGAGUCUCUUACAGUAGCUCACCUGAGAGAUGAUGAUGGGGUUGUCAGAACAGGUAGAGAGAUGUGGAUGGUGCCAGCAUGUUUUUCAGGAGUGAAGAAAACAGGGCUUCCUGAUGGGUUAAUGUGGGAAAUAGGGACCAGAGAGAAGACAGUGAUGAUUUGUAGCUCUUGGGCUUGAGCUUGAGCAGUUAAUUAAAGGUAGAAUUAUUAACUGAGCAAGCAAAGACUAAGGAAGCAAAGACUUACAGGGGUGAAGGAAAUCAAGGGAUUGUUUUAUCCACAUUCUGUUCAAGAAACCUAUUACACAUGUAAGAGGUACUAUCAAGUAGACAGAUAUAUCUAGGAGUCUGGAGCUUAGGAGAAAGGUCUGUGAUAUAAACUGGGAAAUCAUUGGCAUUGAGGUGGUAUUUAAAGUCAUGGAUCUGGACGAGAUCAUCUAGGGAGAGUGUAGAGAGGAGUUAAGGCCCAAAGCCAACCCCCAAAGGCACUUCGAAUUGGGAAAUCUGGUACAGAGGAGGAGCCAGCAGAGAAGACUUUUAACAUGUUCUUGUGCAUUAAUGACUCCUUACAAGGCAAUACAGAAGGCAGCAUUUCCCAAACUUAUUUGACCUCGGGACAUUUUGUCACAUAGCAUCUCACAGGGAUAGGGUCCCAGUGAAAGCAUUUCGGGAAAUAUUGUUCAUAACUUUCUAGCUGCACCCCACUGUAGCAUAAUAUAUUAACUUCUAAGGUGACAUAGGCAAGUCUUCUCCCUCUAAGCAGAGAGGUAUUUCAAUGAAAGCCCAUCAGUUGCUAAGCAAAACACUGCGCUGAUGAUCCAGGCCAAAAAAUGUACCUGCAGGAAAUACAUAGGAGCCAAAUGCAGUCAGAAGGAAGGAAGGCUGUUCCACCAUCGCUUCACUGAGCCAAAGCUCACAUGCUGGCUCUUUUCGCCUUUUUACAUUAAUAAUAGUUAUUUUGGUGGAGGAGUGAGAUUGAAGGUCUGAGGAGAGGUCCAGGAGGAAAUGCUCUUUUUUUGGUGAAUUAUGUAACUUUUUUUCCAAAAUGCUAGCAUUUGGGUGUUUCUACCUAUAUACACUACACCAGAGUAUCAUUUGAUGCUCUGGAAAAAGUUAAUUUAGAUAAAGAUUUUUCUCCAUUUUCUAGUUAGUUUUUUUGGUUUUGUUAUAAAGAACAGAAACUCACUCAUGUAUAUUAUUGGGAUCUGAGGCAGCCCUAAGGACAAGAUUCUCUCUAGGACCCAUUUUCCCUCCCCUUCUCUCUCUCUCUUUCUCUACCCACUCCCCCCCUCCCCCCCCAUAGGCCAGAGGCUGUAUGGUCUUUCUCUCAUAGUAUCUCUGAGACCUUUCACAUUACAUUACGCACUAAGAAAUCGUAAUAAAAUCCUCUACAUUUGUAUAGCACAGUCUAAGUGGACCACACAUGUUAUGGACUAAAUGUUUGUGUCCCUGUAAAAUUCAUAUGUUGAAAUCCUUAACCUUCAACGUGAUGGUAUUAGGAGAUGGGGCAGUAAUUGGGACGUAAUUAAGUCUUGAGCACUGAGCCCUUAUGAAUGAGAUUAGUACCCUUAUAAGAAGAAACACAAGAACAAACUGAUGGUUGCCAGAGGGGAGAGGGCUGGGGGGAAUGAACAAAAUGGAUAAAAAGGAGUGGGAGAUACAGGCUUCCAGUUAUGGAAUGAAUAAGUCAUGGCAAUAAAAGGUACAGCAGAGGGAAUGUAGUCAAUGGUAUUGUCAUUGCAUUGUACAGUAUAGCUACGUUUGCAAUGAAAAUAGCAUAAUGUGUAAACUUGUUCAAUCGCUAUGUUGUAUACCUGAAGCUAAUGUAACAUUAUGUGUCAACUAUACUCAAAUUUAAAAAAUUAAAAACAAGAAGAAAAAAAAACAAGAGAGAUGCUAUCUGUCUCUCUCUCUCAGCUGUGUGAGGAUACAAGGAGAAAACAGUCAUAUGCAAACACAAAGAGUUCCUUCACCAGACCCCAGAUCUGCUGGGGCCUUGAUCUUGAACUUCUAGCCUCCAGGACUAUGAGAAAUAAAUGUUUGUUGUUGGAGCCACCCCGUCAGUCUGUGGUAUUCCUCUCUAACAGCCCAAACUAAGAGAAUACAGUCUUGGAGGUUUGCUUUGUAAACAAAGAGACCAAGACCUAGGGAGGAGAGACACAACCCAGUGGAAGGAGCCCUAGAUGGGUUUGAUAGACCUAAAUUGUGCCUUUGUGUGACUGUAGACAAAUGGCUUCAUCUGAGCCUCAAAUUCUGCAGAGGGAGAAGAUUGAGAAGGGGUAAGUGAUUUUCAAUAUGCAUUUUUUUUUAGCAUUUACAGUCUGAUUUUAUGAUUUUGAGAUGGAGUAUCUUGGCUGAGAUCAUACGGUUAGGUGGUUCAUAGCAGAGUAGGAUCUACUUGUUCUAUAUCACCUGGUCCAGUGUUUUGCUUCAUGACACCACACUGUAUUUCCAUUAAAAAAAUUUUUUUAUUUCAACUAAUUUUUCUCAUCGUAUUUCCAUUAAAAAAAUUUUUUUAUUUCAACUAAUUUUUCUCAUCUAUUUGUAUUGCUAUGAAAACACUGCAUAAGGCAGCAUUGUGCAGUGCAAAAGCAUAAACUUUGAAACCAAUGAGACCUGGGUUUGGAUGUAGGUCUACUUUUAGGUCUGUGACCUUGGAGCAGCUACUUAACUACCCUCUUCAGUCUCAUUUUGUCAUCUGUAAGACAAGUGUAUAUAAUACCUGCCUUAUCAGAUCGCUGAUCAGAUUGAAAUUGUGUCUAAAAAGCAUCAUGGUCAUAGCAGGUACAGAUAUUCUUAGUCCAUUCAGGCUGCUAACAGAAAUUUACUUCUCACAUUUUUGGAGCCUGAGAACUCCAAAAUCAAGGCUCUGGCAGAUCUGGUGUCUGGUGAGAACCCACUUCCUGGUUUGCAAUGGCAGAAAAGGGGCUAGCUAGUUCUUGGCCUUUGCUUAUAAGACACUAAUCCCAUUCAUGAGGGCUGUGUUCUCAUUACCUAAUCAUUCCCCAAAUCAUGCCCCACUUCCUAAUACCUUCACACUGGGGAUUAAGAUUUCAACAUACGAAUUUUAGGAAGAUACAUUCAGUCCCUAGUACAGUCCAUCUCACAUUUCACAUCUCCCUCCUUCUUAAUGAUUUGGGGAGAUAAGGAAUUAAAGCAAAGAGUUCGUGAACCAGGAUGGGGAUGGGGCCUGCAUGUUCCGUGUAAGUAAUAUUUAUUCAGGAAAACAUUUUAUUUCAAUCAGUCUUGUUGAAAGCCUUUUCAAAAUAUUGGUCCAUGCUCCUCCUUUGGAAACCACACACUCUGAAUAUAAUUGAAUCUUUCUUGAUGAUUGAAGACCUUGCCAUGCCUCAGGCUUAUUAUUCAGAACUUAUUCAGCUGCUUGGAUAAAUACGCAGAAGGUGCAAAACUUAGUUGGAAUGUGUUGAACUCAGGAAAUCUUCUAGAAGUUUGUUAUUUACGUUGAAUCGAAAUCUUUGUUAACAGCUUUUUUGUGGUUCAGACUUCUAAAUAGUGCAAACAUUCCAUUUAUAGAUGAGGUUAUUCGAUAUUGUGUUCUGGUUAAACAAAUGAUCAACAGAUUUUUUUCUUUUUCUUUUUUUUUUUUUUAAAGAUUUUAUUUAUUUAUUUGAGAGAGAGAGAGAGCACAAGAGGGGGGAGUGGGAGAGGGAGAAGCAGACUCCCUGCCGAGCAGGGAGCCCGAUGCGGGACUCGAUCCCGGGACUCCAGGAUCAUGACCUGAGCCGAAGGCAGUCGCUUAACCAACUGAGCCACCCAGGCGCCCCAGAUUUUUUUCUUUGAAGGACUAGUUUGUUGAAGGACCUGAAGCAGGCAUUGUUUUGAACAUGAGGGAAUAUGAAGAUUAGUUGGAGGCCUUAAGGAAUGGAUAGCCUCAUGGGGGGAGGGACAAAACAUAAACUCAUAAAAAAAUACCUAUAGCAAGAGCCAAUGAAAAAGAGAAGUCUUCAUAAAGAAGUCAGUACUUGAAAUGGGACUUGAACCAUGUAGGAUUUGGACCAGUCAUGGUCAGUGGUAAGAAGAAUGUUUGAUAGGGAAGGGUCGUUAAAGUGGAGGGAGGGAAUAGUUUGACUAAAUGCACAGGGAUGGGGAAGCUUGGGGUAUAGCCAGAGGACCACAAGUUGUUCAUUUCAGAGAUAAUUAAGGUUAACAAAAGAUAUUUAGUUGGGACAUUCCUGGUUUUUGAUAAUAUGUGCUGAAUAGCCAGAUGUCUUGAAAAGUGUUUCUCAGGCUCCUGUAGUUGUAGGAAACUAUCAUCUACCGUACAUGCUUUUGUAAAUUAUUUUAUCUCUGUGGGCCUAUAAUAUAUAUGUCACAAGAGAAUUCAUAGGGUUUCCAAUUUUCCUGUUAUUAGAGGCCUAGAAUCAUUUCUUGGACACCAAAGGUGUCUAGUACACCAGAAAGCCCUACCAAGAUCCAUUCUCCUUUGUAGAAAACAACUUUUAGAGCCACGGGAUAGGUCCUGGGUUUGGAUCCUCAUUGCCCCUCCUUAAACACCUCAAGCCGGGAGUGUGGAGGAAGGAGAGAAACAGGUUUCUCUAAUCUCCCCACUUGCCUCACCUGCCCCUUAUUUGCCAGCCCAGCCCUAUGCCCACUCCCAUUCCACACUGGCUCCUUAAAAACAACAUCACUUUCCUCAGAGGGAAAGACGACAGCCUUUCAUCUAACUGGUCAAUGGACUUACAUACUCCUUUAUGAAAGUGGAAAAUGAGAGGAAGAAGGGAAAAAUCUGUGCAGGACCCUGGUGUUAUAGGACAUAGUCUGCUUUGUGGAAGCCAUCAGUCCCAGCAGAGGUUAAAAAAAAAAAAAAAAAAAAGCAAGACGUAGCAAUGUGAGCAAUGUGUAUAUUCCACAUUAAAUUAUCUGGGCAGUGAGCCUUUUGUUAAAAAUUGCUGGAUGGACCAUCUCGUUAACAUUUCCAACUAUUGAUUGACUCUGAUAAGGAGAGAAAAGAAAGAUUGUUGGGAUUCUCAAACUCAGCAUUCCACAUGUAAAGCAAAUCUAGACUAUGCCAAAGAACAUGACCUUUUUGCUUUUUAAGGAGGCAGACAUUUUAUCCUGGACACCAAACGGGAGGGCAGUUGGUGUUACUCCCUGUAUAGGGCCAAGGUUCCCUUCUAGUCUUCUCUUUUUUUGUUGUUGUUACUGUUUUUCCAUAUUUGACCUCUUUGUUCCUGCCCUUCACCUUCAAUCAUAAAUGUAAAACUGCUCACUAUACAAUGAAAAGCUCCUUUCCUAACAAGGCACAGGGCCAGAGUGGUAUAAUUGGAAGGAAACUCAGAAGCAUUGAAUUCACCCUUCUGGCUUUUGAGAUAAGGAAAAUGAGGCCCAGAAAGAUAAAGUGGCCUUAUUGACUAUGGACAGUGUGGAUGGAAGCAAGUGGUGGCUCAUGUAGUGUUAGUCAGUUUACAGAGUGUUACCAAGCAUGUGAUCGCAUAAAAACCUGUGUGAUGUAGGUGAGAUUAUUAUGAUUCUUGUUUUUUUUUUUAACAGGGGAGGAAACUGAGACCCAGAGAAUUCUCCCAUAAGGAGAAAGAGCACAUACCUUUUCAUCAGGGAAACUGCCCAUGACAAAGCCUAGUGGUUCUGAAAUGCCAAACUCUGUUCUGAAGGGCUAGGCAUUCAAAGAUUGGUAAGAUGCUGCCGGUGUGCUCAUCUCUCUGAGAGGAAGGUUGUCAGUCUUUCCCCAAGGCCACCCGCAGGGCAUCCCUAAUGCUAUCAAAACACUACCUGACUCCUGAAAGGACUGAGUUCCAUGUAGCCAUUUGACGCCCUCUAAACAUGGUUUUGUGGAAACCUUAGAAAGGGCCAGCUCUUCUGCAGAGGAAUCUACAUUUUAAACUACACAAACCUUAGGGGCACCUGGGUGGCUCAGUAGUUAAGCGUUUGCCUUCAGCUCAGGUUGUGAUCCCAGGGUCCUGGGAUCGAGCCCCACAUCGGACUCCCUGCUCAGCGGGAAGCCUGCUUCUCCCUCUCCCACUCCCCCUGCUUGUGUUCCCUCUCUUGCUGUGUCUCUCUCUGUGUCAAAUGAAUAAAUAAAAUCUUUAAAAAUAAAGAAAGAAAGAAACUACACAAAACUUAGAGUCUCUGUAAUGUGAAAAGUAAAUAAAGUUGGCUCAGGAUUAUGGAGGCAUUCAGAGUUUAAUUGGAAAUAGAGGUGGGAUGGGGAUGAACUAGGGGUUUUCGGGACUCCUCUCAUCCUGUCUUUUACUAUUCUUUGUGAGAAGCACCCACCUCAGUGACCCUUCCUCUUCAGAGUGGCACUGACAAGCAUACACUCUUUCCCCUCCCUUUUAUUCAUGGGGAAAGAAUCUGAUCACCAACUAGAUCAUACUUUCAUAGAUGGUGAAAAAUCAUUUGGAACUUCUGUUCAUCUAAGACAAGGGUCAGCAAACCACUGCCUCUAGGCUAAAUCCAGCCUACUGCCUAUUUUUGUAGGCUCAUGAGGUAAGGACAGUUUUUACAUUUUUAAGUGGUUGGAAAAAAUAAAAAAAAGAAUAAUAUUUCAUGCCACAUGAAUCUUAUAUUAAAUUUAAUUUCAGUGGCAAUAGAUAAAAUUUUAGUGGAGCACAGACACUUUUAUCAUUUGCAUCUUGUUUAUGGAUGCUUUUGUGCUACAACAAUGGGGUCUAGUAGUUGCAACAGAGAUUAUAUGGCCUGCAGAGCUUAAAAUAUUUACUAUCCAGCCCUUAACAGAAAAUCUUUGCCAACCCCUGUCUUAGAGCACUAAUCAUACUGUAUGAGAACUGACUCUAUGCAUAUCCAUCUCCUAAACUAGAUUUUGGAGCUUGUGAAAGGCUCUCCUUUGCUUAGAAUGAACCUUUACUCUGGGUUGGCACUCUGUACAUGUCUGUAGGAUAAAAAGAAAAAUAUAUCAAUGAUGUGGGUUUGGGCAAGUCACUUUUCAUUUCUGGGCCUUAGUUUCUCCUUUUGUGAAAUGAAAGAGUUGGCUAAGGUGACCUUGGUCCCUUUUAGUUCCAACAUUCUAUGUUUUAAGGUUACUGCAGCCAAAAAUAAACAUCAUGUUCAGUUCACUGAAUCUUCUUUUUUAUAACUUUGUGUUCUCCCUUAGUGACUUUCUGAAUGUUGGCUGGUUUCUCAGGUCUGCCAGUACCAUGAAUUUACUGGAUCAUAUGAUGUUAGUGUUGUGUGCAUUGCCUACUGUGUGGAAAUUCAUUAUCAAUCAAUAACUUCCUUUUCUUCAUGGCUGCCUGUCUUAUGUGAGUCUAGUGACAUGAACGAUUUUCUCAGGGCCUGGUCACUAUUAAGAAUCUGAACAUGUGGAGUCCAGAGACCACACUCUGGAUUUAUGACCAACCCCCACCUCCAUCAAGAUGCAUCCACAUGGGGCGCCUGGGUGGCUCAGUUGGUUAAGAUGCAUCCACAUGGCCUAGAAAACAGCCAUCUGCCAUUACUUAGAAAAUCUCACUACGGGCGCCUGGGUGGCUCAGUUGGUUAACCGACUGCCUUCGGCUCAGGUCAUGAUCCUGGAGUCCCUGGAUCGAGUCCCACAUCAGGCUCCCUGCUCGGCGGGGAGUCUGCUUCUCCCUCUGACCCUCCCCCCUCUCAUGUGCUCGCUCUCUCUCAUUCUCUCUCUCUCAAAUAAAUAAAUAAAAUCUUUAAAAAAAAAAAAGAAAAUCUCACUAAGAAAAAUUUAGUACUUGGAAAAUAGUGGCAUUUUCAAACCAAAUGGAUAUAAAAGUUCUCCUCCAAACUUCACAAGUGCACACGGCCAUGCCCUAAGGUGCUGAUUGGUGGACACUGUCAUGGCACAAAGGUUAUAUGGCCUGAUGUGUUGUCAAUGGGAUUUGAUUUGAGUAAUUAUCCUGCACUGUUUCAUCCCAGAAGGGUCAUUUCCGCUCCCCAACCCCAUCACUGUUAAGGGGACAGAAAAUCUUAGAAUUGAGGCACAUGGGAUGUGAGGAAGCAUGCUUGCCAUAAGUUUGGCCCAAUGAAGGCUUCCUGUUCAGCAGCCAAGACCAGACCUCAUGCAACAGGUGAAAUUUGUUUUCUGGACUCUUCUCUUCCCUUUUCUACUUCUUCCCAAGUUUCUAACACUGUCCAUUCAUCUUGGGCCUCUGCUAUGAUGCCCCAGGCAUGGGAAACACCCAAACUUUUAGUGCAAUAUCUCCUUUCCCUUUGUUUUUAAAAUGAAGGGUAGUGAGGUAUAGUGGAAAAGUGCAAAGCACUGAAAAUCAUGUUAAUCAUGUUAGUCUGAGAUCCAGUUCCUCCGAUCCUUGGUGGAGUCUUAGUUCCUAUUAUCCGCUUAAUGAAGAUGAUACCUACUCUACUUAUCACCUAGAGUCCCUUACAGGCAAGGAUCAUGCAUUAUUUAUUCUUCUUUUUAUCUUGCCCUGCUCAGUACAUAGCAUGCAGUAGACACUUGGCAAGUGUCUGAACAAAAUUGAACUGACUUUACGUAUAAUCUUACAUGGAUCAUGACAUGUAGAGUGUUUGAACUAAAAGGAGCUCAAAGACCUACUCAGUUCACUGUCAGCAAAUAAUAGGCAGACAUGCCCCACUUCUCACUUCUGUGCUAAAUGGUCCAAAACAGUCACUAUAGUCUUUCCAGCUGAGUGCCUUUUUUUAUCCGAGCUUCACAAUCUUCAACAAAGUUCUCUGAAAGGCCACUAUCAUUUGACUAAAAUUAUCACUGAAGGAAAAAAAAAUAGGAUAUAAUUCUGGUUUGAGUUCAACUUCCACCUUAUAAAUGAAGAAACAUAGACCUAAGAAGAUGAUAUGAUUUGGCAGAGGUCACAGAACUAAUUGCAAAGUGAGUUGGAACUAGAAUAUAGGUCUCUAGUUUCUUCAUCCAGUGCUCUAUCCACUACAUAAUAUUUGCGUUCUGAUAGAAGUUACAAUGCCUUCAAGCCAAGGAGUGAGCACUGGGGGAAAUUUCUAGCAAGGACAAAUGAGUAUGGGAGGCAGGGAGGGAGGGAAUAUAGGAGGGCCUUAGAGUCAUAGAGUCUCCCUGUCAAUUCAGAAGGCAAGUAAGAUAUUCAGCAACUUUCACUGAAGACCUCUUUCAGGCGAAGGUGCAAGGCCCCAGAGAUCUAGAUAGAUAAAAUAAGGACUCCGCCCCAGGACUUAUAGACCUGUAAACAGUGAAAAACCAAGUAAGAUGAUAAGUGAGCUAACAGAGAUAUGCUUAGAGCCCUCCAAGGGCCAGAGGGCAUGAUCCAGAGAAGUCAAGGAGGGCUUAACUUCUGAGCUAAUUGUUCCAAAAAGAGUUAUGGUUCUCCUACAGACCUGUACCCCUGAAACAAAUAAUACAUUGUAUGUUAAUUUAAAAAAAAAAAGAGUUAUGGGUCUCCAAAGCAAAGAAGGGAAAGGGUAUUCCAUCAGAAGGAACUGUGUGCAAAGGUAUGGUCUGAAAGAGCUUGGCAUAUAAAGGGACUAGCAAAGAGUUCUGCAUGGAAGAAACAUUGAUAUGUGGCAAAUGGAGGAGAAGAAGGGAGGGGAUUAAGAACAGUAUCAGGAGGGGCGCCUGGGUGGCUCAGUUGGUUAAGCGACUGCCUUCGGCUCAGGUCAUGAUCUCAGGGUCCUGGGAUCGAGCCCCACAUCGGGCUCCCUGCUCAGGGGAGACCCUUUUUCUCCUUCUCCCUCUGCUGCUCUGCCUACUUGUGCUCUCUCUCUCUGUGUCAAAUAAAUAAAUAAAAUCUUAAAAAAAAAAAAAAAAAAAGAA